GACAGAGGGUGCAAACGUUGUUCGGAAUUACUGGGCGUAAAGCGCGUGUAGGCGGCUUGGCAAGUCGGGUGUGAAAGCCCUGGGCUCAACCCAGGAAGUGCACUCGAAACUGCCUCGCUGGAGUGCCGGAGAGGAAAGCGGAAUUCUCGGUGUAGAGGUGAAAUUCGUAGAUAUCGAGAGGAACACCGGUGGCGAAGGCGGCUUUCUGGACGGUUACUGACGCUGAGACGCGAAAGCGUGGGGAGCAAACAGG
rnacentral:rRNA from 1 species